AAACGACUCUCGGCAACGGAUAUCCCGGCUCUCGCAUCGAUGAAGAACGUAGCGAAAUGCGAUACUUGGUGUGAAUUGCAGAAUCCCGUGAACCAUUGAGUCUUUGAACGCAAGUUGCGCCUGAAGCCACUAGGCUGAGGGCACGUCUGCCUGGGUGUCACGC
rnacentral:rRNA from 2 species